AUUGAACGCUGGCGGCAGGCUUAACACAUGCAAGUCGAGCGAGCGGCGGACGGGUGAGUAAUGUCUGGGACACUGCCUGAUGGAGGGGGAUAACUACUGGAAACGGUAGCUAAUACCGCAUACCAUCGGAUGUGCCCAGAUGGGAUUAGCUAGUAGGUGGGGUAAUGGCUCACCGAGGCGACGAUCCCUAGCUGGUCUGAGAGGAUGACCAGCCACACUGGAACUGAGACACGGUCCAGACUCCUACGUGAGGCAGCAGUGGGUAAGAUUGCACAAUGGGCGCAAUCCUGAUGCAGCCAUGCCGAGGGUGUGAAGAAGGCCUUCGGGUUGUAAAGCACUUCAAGCGAGGAGGCGUUUCUCGCAGAAGAAGCACCGGCUAACUCCGUGCCAGCAGCCGCGGUAAUUC
rnacentral:rRNA from 1 species